GUCGAUCCUACGCCGGUGGCAUGUCGUGUCAGAAAAAAACGCAAGACGGUCAGCGAGAUUAUGGAAGAAAAAUGGAAAACGUUGGUUUUUUCUCUAAAAAAGGAAAGUUAGCUAGUGGUGGUAUGCGCGGACAGUAUUGGAAGCGUCAUCAAGAUGCGCAACACUUAAAAUUUUUGGAAGAUAGCAUCGCCGAAUAUUUGGCCUCAAAAAAGCCAUCUUUAAUAGGCUGAAGGAGGCGAUAGUGAAUAUGGAAAAGUGAAAUACUUUUCAAAAAUAGUUAGUAAGGAGGUGCAUACUGAA
ensembl:ncRNA F22A3.9 ncRNA